CUAAUGGACACACGAACGUCCGAGUACGUGAACGCACCACGACGAGUUGUCGAGUGACGUCCGCAGCAGAAACCGUGGAGCUACGUUAGCUAACCGGAAGCUAGGAGCCGCACUAGCUAGCUAGCUGAGGGGGGAACGCACGAUGCUGCCGGAAGAGGAAGUCCCCGGCCCGGGUCUGAAGAACCGCAGCGAACCCGCAGAGAUGAGAGGAAAGAGACGAGCAGCCGGAGAACUCUGGCGGUUUUAAUUAAUUUAUUCUUCUUUUCUUCAAAACACAGGUUUUCACUUCAAGACGCGCAGCUUCCGUUUCCCUUCCGGUCGCCGGAUAAAAAAAUAAAUCACAAUAAAAGAUAAAAAGGCAAAACAGAAGCUAUUGGUUUCGAGGUACACAGCAGGGCCCAAUCGGGGGUCCCAGGAGGAUGGAGGCCAAUGAAAACCCUAGGUUUUCCGUGACGACAAUUUUGACAACCAAUAGCAUUGUGCUACGUUCGAUUUGUUCUCUGAUAGUUCCGGGUGAAAGCGAACCAGGAGAAUUGGAAAUAAAAUACACGAAAUACACGAACGUCUCCAGUAAAUGUAAUGUUUGUGUAACAUUCUCAGUAUUUAAAGGUACAAGUAUAUAUUAUUAUGAGUAGAAUGAAAGAGCGUAAAUGCCCCAUUAUAAUUAUUUAGGCAUUAAUGUGUUAGAAGUCUGGAUAUUAUAUAAACCUGCAGGUAAUGGUUUUAUUAGGGCCAGUAGGAGACAGUGGGAGGCUCUAUCGAAAUAGUAAGGAUUAUUAUUUAUUUUUUUCAGGAAAAUUAAUUGUCUUUUUGAGGUCAUUAUUAUUAUUGUGAGAUGUUUUGAAAGAAAUACAGAUAAACAUGAUUAUGAUUAUUGUUACUAUCAUUAGCAGUAGUAUCAUCUUUACUCUGUUAACCUGCUAGUUGUGUGUGUAUAUGUAUAUAUUCAGUGACUAAAGGUUUAAUUAUUCUUGUUCUUUUUAAACUGAAUAAACUUAUAAACUAUA